rnacentral:lncRNA from 1 species
AAAAUCUUGCUGGCAUAUGCAAUAGUGUCUGGGAUUGGUGGUUGUAUAUGGGAUGAAUCCCUGGGUGGGGCAGUCUGUGGAUGGUCCUUUCUUCUAUCUCAGCUCCAAACUUUUUCUCUGUAACUCCUUCCAUGGGUAUUUUCUUCCCCAUUCUAAGAAGGAGCGAAGUAUCUACACUUUGGUCUUCCUUCUUGAGUUUCAUGUAUUUUACAAAUUGUGUCUUGGGUAUUCUAAGUUUCUGAGCUAAUAUCCGCUUAUCAGUGAGUGCACAUCAUGUGUGUUCUUUUAUGAUUGGGUUACCUCACUCAGGACGAUAUCUCCCAGAUCCACCCAUUUGUCUAAGAAUUUCAUGAAUUCAUUGUUUUUAAUAGCUGAGUAGUACUCCAUUGUGUAAAUGUACCACAUUUUCUGUAUCCAUUCCUCUGUUGAGGGACAUCUGGGUUCUUUCCAGCUUCUGGCUAUUAUAAAUAAGGCUGCUAUGAACAUAGUGGAACAUGUGUUCUUAUCACAAGCUGGGACAUCUUCUGGGUAUAUGCCCAGGAGAGGUAUUGCUGGAUCAUCUGGCAGUACUAUGUCCAAUUUUCUGAGGAACCGCCAGACUGAUUUCCAGAGUGGUUGUACAAGCUUGCAAUCCCACCAACAAUGGAGGAGUGUUCCUCUUUCUCCACAUCCUCGCCAGCAUCUGCUGUCACCUGAAUUUUUUAUCUUAGCCAUUAUGACUGGUGUGAGGUGCAAUCUCAGGGUUGUUUUGAUUUGUAUUUCCCUUAAUAGGGCUUCUUAAACUGCUACAUCAUCCAAUCAGAGGUUUUAUAUUGUGUGUGCAUAUCUAUUCAUAAGUUAUUUACUUAUGUUCUUUUGAAAAUAAUUCCUUUUUUUUAAUUAGAUAUUUUCUUUACUUACAUUUCAAAUGUUAUCCCCUUUCCUGGCUUCCCUUCUGAAAACUCCCUAUCUCUUCUCCCCUUCCUCUGCUCACCAACCCACACACUCCCACUUCCUGGUUGAAAAUAAUUUUUAAGGUGUUCUGGAUAUGAGGGCCAACAAUAUAAUUUUUUGGUUAUUCAUAGUGGACCAUCUUAAAAAUAAAAAAAAUUGAAUUUACCUCAAACAAUAUUAAAAAAAAAUCAACGGCAAAUGCCAUGUUAUCCACAGACUUGAGAAUACAUUUUGAAAAUUUUCUGUUUAUACAUGAGGCCAUAUUUCCACUGUAGUGAGUAAUGUUUAUCAGAAUUUUACCUGUUCUGUUUAUUGGUGUUUAAUAUGCUCUAGAAUUAUCUAUGAUCUACACUGUCCUGACUAUUCUGCUUUGCUCAAACUCAGUAGCCUAUGAACUUUCCUGCCUCUGAUGGUCACAGUAAUAGCUGACUAGGACAAUUAGUACAGUAUUACUUAUUUCAUAUUCUUAAAAGACUCCACUUCCAUGGGAAUAAAACAUAGUUGCUGUGUCACCUAAGACCUCCCACGUCCUUCCACAUGUUUAAGUUCCCCCAUUGGUGCAGGAGAAUCAACAGUAAUGUCCACUGGUAGGAAAUUGAGAAGCUACAGAGAGAUUAAAGAGCCUCAGAUGGUGUCCAGAGAAUUAGCUUAGUUGCAUCCAGUGGAUUUCUCCCUUGUGGAACAGAAUCUCACUGGGUAUCAACAUCACAUAAUGAUUCUCCAUAAGGCAAAACCAACCAACCAGUUAACCAACUGAACAACAAACAAACAACCACCACCAAGAAAAAAGCCAACAAUCAACAUACGUUGACCUUAUAGGCACAUUUAUAACAAAGAUAAAGUAGAAUUUUCCCAUAACCAGAGAACUGCAAAUCAUCCCAACAACACUGUUUCUCAGACAGACAGCCCCAGACCUUACUUUUUUUUUUAAACUUUUUCAAAAACUUUAUCAGGUAUUUUCUUCAUUUACAUUUCAAAUGCUAUCCCUCCCCCCACUCUGCUCCCCUACCUACCCACUCCCACUUCUUGAUCCUGGCAUUCCCCUGUACUGGGGCAUAUAAAGUUUGCAAGACCAAAGGGCCUCUCUUCCCAAUGAUGGCCAACUAGGCCAUCUUCUGCUACAUAUGCAGCUAGAGACACAAGCUCUGGGGGUACUGGUUAGUUCAUAUUGUUGUUCCACCUAUAGGGUUGCAGAACCCUUCAGCUCCUUGGGUAUUUUCUCUAGCUCCUCCAUUGGGGGCCCUAUGUUCCAUCCAAUAGCUGACUGUGAGCAUCCACUUCUGUGUUUGCCAGGCACUGGCAUAGCCUCACAAGAGACAGCUAUAUCAGGAUCCUUUCAGCAAAAUCUUGCUGGUGUAUGCAAUAGUGUCCGUGUUUGGUGGCUGAUUAUGGGAUGGACCCCCAGGUGGGGCAGUCCCUGGAUGGUCCAUCCUUUCGUCUCAGCUCCAAACUUUGCCUCUGUAACUCCUCUCAUGGGUGUUUUGUUCCCAAUUCUAAGAAGGGGCAAAGUAUCCACACUUCGGUCUUCUUCUUAAGUUUCAUGUGUUUUGCAAAUUGUAUCUUGGGUCUUCUAAGUUUCUGGGCUAAUAUCUACUUAUCAGUGAGUGCAUAUCAUGUGAGUUCUUUUGUGAUUGGGUUACCUCACUCAGGAUGAUGCCCUCCAGAUCCAUCUCCCAGACCUUACUUUUAUCUUAACUUACUUUUCUAUGUAUAUAAUUAUUGAUUGACUCCUGUUUAUCAAGUUACCUUUUGUGAACACUUGGACAAAUUUCGUUUCUCUUGCACUAACUAAUCUUAAAUCUCUCAGAGGUUCCCUGUUUUCUGAUAUAGCAAGCUCCUUAAAACAUAUAUACAUGCAUACAUACAUACAUGCAUACAUACAUACAUACAUAAACACACACAAUCACAGACAUACCCCUCCUGUUUUGGAGGUAGUGCACAUUGAAUUUGAGGUGCAGUUAGACAUAGUGAUGUAAAUUAGGAGGCUGUUCCAUCGCCAGGAGUCAAAGAAAAUCAGCCAUGGAGAGAGAAACAUUAGAAAUUCUCCAGUGAUGUAACCAGAUGAGAGCACGCCAUUUGGGGGUCAUGAUUGCAUUGGCAGCUGCUGUACCACUAAUGUCUCAGCACGUACACUCAGCAUUGUCUUUAGAAUAGGAAAAAUCCGUUUUAGCUGGAGCUAGGAAACUAUGGAAGCAAAUGUUUUAUAGCAUCUUAUCAUGUUGUCAGCACUGUCUCUCUUUUUCACAGCCUCUAGCUAUGCACUAUGACUAUAGCUUUAUAGCUAAUUCUUUACUGAAUGCUAGGUUAUCUCUACCUAUAAGAUACAUCUC